CAAUUACCUUUUUGUUCAUUGUUUGCUCUGAUGCACCGUUGCCAAUAAAGGUUGGUGAAUUGAAGCACCGGUAGGCACUUUACACAUCCACUGAAGAAAAUAGUUCCAAAACAUAUUUGAAUAAGGAGGACAACGAAAUGUAUUUAUUUACAUUGAGAACUUUUGCUACAUCGGUUUUACAUUUGUUAAACCGAUGUAGCACUCUCAAAAAUUAAUCUUGUGUUUCUUGGAAAACGUAAAAUGACCCGCGGAUGGAUAUGCGGUUUCAAAAUCAAGCCUGUUCUCUUCAUCAGUCCGUUGGCGCGGAGUCUGCCUGUUGGCUGAUCUACGAAAGAAUCUCGAGGAUCUUUGUGAGGAGCCCGUGGAGCUUGGCACAGGUGGAGGAGCAGCAGAAUCUUCAGUCUACGCUAGAUUGACUGAAGAUUCUACUGGUGUAUGCUAGAUGGUUGCAUACACCGGUAGUCACUCUGGCCUCUCCUGUUGUGAACAGUUUUCUGAGAACGUUUCUGUGUCUACUAGAAGUCACCUGGUCUCUGUGUUUGUUCGAUCCUAGGGGUUUUGUCGCCUCAUUCGAGAACUCACCAGUGAAUACCUGCCUGCUCGCUCCGCCGAUUCCACUGCCUCCACUCCACCCUUCGAGCUUCCAGCUCUCUUCCAUUCCCACCUCGCAUUUACCUUCGGAACCGCUGCACACCCUCUCUCAGGAACCUGGCAUCUCACACCCACGCCUCGAAAGACCCGCACCGAAGCUUCAAGAGGAUCAGCGUGUGAAGAUCACUUUAUAAUGAUUUGAAAAAGGUUGCCAUGGCUACAGAAAUUGGAGGAGCAUCCUUAGAUGACACAAUACAACCAGCUGUGCGAUUCCUCAUGUCCCAUGAACUGGAAGUCCAGUUCAACCUUUUUGGCCAACAUUGGAAACAAGCUCUUGGACCUGCGUCUCUUUGAUGUUUUGUAUGGGGACUUAAAAGAAAUUAUCCAUCUACAGAAUCACACAAGCAUACAGCAAAGACUCUCGAAGUGGUUUACUGGAGCCCGAGUGGAAGUGGAAAUAGACUAGAGAGACUGCCAGUUCAAACUCAGGUUGGGGAGGUCUUUCAAGAUGGACAGUUUCAGUAAAGUAUGAGAGAUUUCAAAUUUAAGCAUGCAUAUGGCAUGUAGGUUAUUUUUAAAAAUGUUUAACAAAAAUGUAUUGUGAAAGAUCUAUAUAGGUGUGUAUAUUCACAUUGUGUGUAUCAAUGUGAAUAUACGUGUAUAAAGUUAUAUAGAUAGUAUUUAGAUGUAUACAUUUAUAGACCUGUAGGAAAAUAUGUAGGUGUCUUUAUUUGUGUGCAUCUAUAGAUAUAUAUUUAUAGAUCUGUUUAUAAGUUUGUUAUAGUAAACUAGCUUCUGUUAUUUUCAAAGAUGUCGUGAAUAAUUGCAGAUUUCUUUUUGUGGCACCAUUCCCUGAGUAUUAAUGAAGUUCUAAUAAUUGCUGUAGUGAGGUAAAAAAUAACUCCUGACAAUAUUUUAAAUUACUAAAUAAAAGCCUUGAGCAAAAUAAA